rnacentral:rRNA from 1 species
UACGUAGGGUGCAAGCGUUAAUCGGAAUUACUGGGCGUAAAGCGUGCGCAGGCGGUUGUGCAAGACAGAUGUGAAAUCCCCGGGCUCAACCUGGGAAUUGCAUUUGUGACUGCACGGCUAGAGUGUGUCAGAGGGGGGGGUAGAAUUCCACGUGUAGCAGUGAAAUGCGUAGAGAUGUGGAGGAAUACCGAUGGCGAAGGCAGCCCCUGGGAUAACACUGACGCUCAUGCACGAAAAGCGUGGGGAGCAAACAGG